UAGCAGCACGUAAUUAUUGGUGU
rnacentral:miRNA from 1 species